rnacentral:rRNA from 1 species
GUGCCAGCAGCCGCGGUAAUACGUAGGGGGCAAGCGUUGUCCGGAUUUAUUGGGCGUAAAGAGCGUGUAGGCGGCUAGAUAGGUCCGUUGUGAAAACUCGAGGCUCAACCUCGAGACGCCGGUGGAAACCAUCUAGCUAGAGUCCGGAAGAGGAGAGUGGAAUUCCUGGUGUAGCGGUGAAAUGCGCAGAUAUCAGGAAGAACACCCGUGGCGAAGGCGGCUCUCUGGUACGUGACUGACGCUGAGACGCGAAAGCGUGGGGAGCGAACAGGAUUAGAAACCCCCGUAGUCC